CGUAAGGCAUAUGGGAAUGCCAAGGUUGUUAAGAUAUACGAGGAUGUAUCAAUACAUAAAGUGUGAAGUCGUGGUACAAGAGUACUCAGUUGGUGAAUCAAGCUUGGUAUAGACGGACCUGUUGAAUCCUCGGUUGAUGGGCAUAAGAAAGAAAUCAGAAAGCAAUAGAACCAUACUUGGUAAUGGGAUACAUAUGAGAGAUUAAGUUGUUCAGAAGAUUAUGAAAAGGUUCUCAGAUAGAGCAGCAGUGGAUAGAAUACUGUAAGGGAAAUCAAUCUUGGAAUGGGUGAGUGUGUGUAUUUGAGAGUAGCACCCUUGGUCUGAUUCAUGUUGGCGUGAUUGAUUGUGCAUGUUCUUGUUUGAUUGUUGCACGGUUAAUCACGUUAACAUUCACCAGAGUCGAGAUGUUACCUUCACGUAUGGCACAUCACCUAAUGUUCCACAUUUUCAUGUUGUUGUUAUGAGGGAAAGCCAAAUAGAAAAGGUUGAGAAGUGAUAGUCUUCAGAGACUCGUGAUUGUUAGAAAAAGUAUCAAGACCGCAGUACACAAAAGUUGUGUAGUAGUAAUAAAUUUGUUUCUUCCUCAAGCUGUUCGCUCAGAAAAGAAAUGAUUGAUUGUAAGAGUUGAAGAACCAAAAAUCAGUUGUGUAAACAUAGGCAGAUUAAGAUAAAGUCAGAGCCAAUAUACAUAACUCCUUUCAGAGACUGUUCAUUAAAGUGUGUACAUCUAUGUUUUCAGAAUUCGGGGACGAAUUCUUUUGAGUGGGGAAGAAUGUAAUAACCCUCACGAGCAGAUAGAAUUUUGGUCGAGAAAAUUCUUUAAGAUGAGUAUGACGAUUGGUCUGACUUAGGUAUAGGGGCGAAAGACUAAUCGAACCAUCUAGUAGCUGGUUCCCUCCGCAGUUUUCCUCAGGAUAGCUGGAGCUCGGAAACGAGUUCUAUCGGGUAAAGCCAAUGAUUAGAGGCAUCGGGGACGCAAUGUCCUCGACCUAUUCUCAAACUUUAAAUAGGUAGAACGGGGUGGCUGCUUUGUUGAGCCAUCCCACGGAAUCGAGAGCUCCAAGUGGGCCAUUUUUGGUAAGCAGAACUGGCGAUGCGGGAUGAACCGGAAGCCAGGUUACGGUGCCCAACUGUGCGCUAACCUAGAACCCACAAAGGCUGUUGGUUGAUUAAGACAGCAGGACGGUGGUCAUGGAAGUCGAAAUCCGCUAAGGAGUGUGUAACAACUCACCUGCCAAAUCAACUAGCCCCGGAAAUGGAUGGCGCUGAAGCGAGCGACCUAUACCCGGCCGUCGGGGCAAGAGCCAUGCCUCGAUGAGUAGGAGGGCGCAGCAGUUGCUGCAAAACCUAGGGCGCGAGCCCCGGCGAAACGGCCGUCGGUGCAGAUCUUGGAGGUAGUAGCAAAUAUUCAAAUGAGAACUUUGAAGGCCGAAGAGGGGAAAGGUUCCAUGUGACCGGCACUUGCACAUGGGUUAGUCAAAUCUAAGAGUCGGGGGAAACCCGUCUGAUAGCGCUUAUGCCCAAACAUCGAAAGGGGAUCCGGUUGAAAUUCUGGAACCGGGACGUGGCGGUUGACGGCAACGUUAGGAAGUCCGGAGACGUCGGCGGGUUCAGCGGCUGGAAGAGUAUCGCACGUCAAGUGGUGUCCGGUGCAUUCCCGGCGGCCCUUGAAAAUCUGGAGGACCGAGUGCCGCUCACGCCCAGUCAUACUUAUAACCGCUUCUGGUCUCCAAGGUGAACAGCCUCUGGUCGAUGGAACAAUGUAGGCAAGGGAAGUUGGCAAAAUGGAUCCCAGAACUUUGGGAAAAGGAUUGGCUCGAGAGCUGGGCCCGGGGUCCCAGUUCCAAACCCGUCGACUGUUGGCGGGCUGCUUGAGCUAAAAAGUGGCGAGAGCGGACCACCUCUGUGUCGGCCGGGGACGGACUGGUAACGGCUCUUUCGGGAUCUUUACCCAGCGCCGAACAGCCAAUCAGAACUGGUACGGACAAGGGGAUCCGACUGUUUAAUUAAAACAAAGCAUUGCGAUGGUCCCGCGGAUGCUAACUUAAUGUGAUUUAUGCCCAGUGCUCUGAAUGUCAAAGUGAAGAAAUUCAACCAAGCGCAGGUAAAAGGCGGGAGUAACUAUGACUCUCUUCAGGUAGCCAAAUGCCUCGUCAUCUAAUUAGUGACGUGCAUGAAUGGAUUAACGAGAUUUCCACUGUCCCUUUUGUGGGAACCGAAAUUCACAUUGUCGAUUUCCGUUUAAAUAAGGAAACUUGGAAAACCCUAAUUUCCCAGAGGACCCGGAUAUCUGUUAAUUACCACACGUCAAGCAAUCAGAACACGAGAACAACAACGAUAAAAAUAAGAAAUCGAAAAGAGAGCAAAGUAGAUCUUAUUCGAAUCUGCGUAUGAGCGUUUACAACAAGGUAUAAGCCUGGGCUCGAGAGCUGUCGGUGAGAUUCCUAGUUCUAGUAACCCUAAGACGGCUAAACCUAAUUGAGUCGCAGCUCGAAAUAACAAAACGGAAAAAUGCCUAAAUUGCCCUAAGUGCUAAGUUUGCUCUGAAAAAAGUUCCCCUCUCUUGCUCCUCGCCUAGGACUCCUUAUAUACUAGCUCCAAGGUCGGUUUCGCUUUUACUCUUCUGCCCUUAAGCCGUCAUAGCAUAAAAAUGGACAAGGCCGGUUUACGCUUUUACUCUUCUGCCCUUUUAGCUCCAAGGUCGGUUUACGCUUUGGCUCGAGCUCGGUCGCUACGUAGCGACCGAGCUUGGCUCGGGUUUGGUUGCUGCAUAGAGACCGGACGGCGUGUAUGCGUGGUGACUGAGCUUGGUUCGUUCGGUUUGAAUCCCAAAGGAUACCUCUUCGUAAAAACUUCGCAUUGGUUAUUUUUACGAAAAUUACAUCUUUCCUUUUACUAUCUCUUUCGGAAAUACGAUCUCCGAGGAUUUUCGGGUGGUAAUUCCGUCGUAACUGUUUUUGACCCCCAACACCUGUCUACUAUCCAGUGAAACCACAGCCUAGGGAACGGGCUUGGCAGAAUCAGCGGGGAAAGAAGACCCUGUUGAGCUUGACUCUAGUCCGACUUUGUGAAAUGACUUGAGAGGUGUAG
rnacentral:rRNA from 1 species